rnacentral:lncRNA from 14 species
GGGAAGGGCGGAGCGGACGCUGCCUCCGCCUCCUCCCGGUCGGAGUCCCAGCCCCGCCGAAGGGAGCUUGGCCGGUUGGCUAAGGAGGGCACGGCGGGCUGCGGAGGAACGGGGGGCUCCACUGUUCGCAGUCACAUCAUCCUGCCUCAGUAGGUGGCUUGGCCCUGUGAAUAGUUCAAGACUAUUGGAUGACUACACUUUAUGCAAAACCUGGAAUCUUCCUGCCUGGACUCCUUUCCAUUUUCUAAGGGUAACUACUUGUAUGUUCUUAUGUGCAUAAUGCAAGUUCUGAUAAUCAGCUGUAGAUGUUAUUUUUGUAGUUUAGGAUGGUAAUCUGAAAAAUAAGAAUGGGGUAUGUAAUAUAAAGUGAAAUGCUUUAGGCUUACUGAAUAGGAUAAACUCUUUGAUUUGCAUAUUCUGAAUUUACCUUCCCCCCCCCUUUAUUAUAACGUAUUAUAAUGUCACAAAG